rnacentral:lncRNA from 1 species
GUACUGGUCCGUACUGGAUUAUACUGGUCCAUACUGGUUUGUAUUUGUCCAUACUGGUUUGUAGUGGUUUAUACUGGUCCAUACUGUUCUGUACUGGUUUAUACUGGUCCGUCCUGGUUUAUACUGGUCCAUACUGAUCCGUACUGUUCCAUACUGGUUCAUACUGGUCCGUACUGGUCCAUACUGGUUUGUACUGGUUUAUACUGGUCCAUACUGGUUCGUACUGGUCCAUACUGGUUUGUACUGGUUUAUACUGGUCCAUACUGGUCCGUACUGGUCCGUACUGGUUUAUACUGGUCCGUACUGGUUUAUACUGGUCCGUACUGGUUGGCACUGGUCCGUACUGGUUGAUACUGGUCCGUACUGGUUUAUACUGGUCCAUACUGGUUCUUACUGGUUGCAGGGGGAGGCUCUGAACCGCAUUGAGCUGCAAGUCCUCCAAUCCGGGGCCGCCGUGCACAAAGGCCACGCCCACCUGGGGACGGCGCACGGACGGCAGCGAGCGGCCAGGAGGGUGCGUGCCCCAUAGCGACCCANAAGGGAUUAUUGGGGCUAUUAAUGAGGUUUUGGGGGCUAUUAAAGGGAUUAUUGGGGCUAUUAAUGAGGUUUUGGGGGCUAUUAAAGGGAUUAUUGGGGCUAUUAAUGAGGUUUUGGGGGCUAUUAAAGGGAUUAUUGGGGCUAUUAAUGGGGUUUUGCGGGCUAUUAAUGGAGUUUUUGGGGUUAUUAAUGAGGCUUUUGGGCCUAUUAAAGGGGUUUUCGGGGCUAUUAAUGGGGUUUUGGGGGCUAUUAAUGGCGUUAUUGGGGCUAUUAAUGGGUUUUUGGGGGCCUAUUAAUGGGGAUAUUGGAGUAUUAAUGGGGUUUGGGGGGCUGUUAAUGGGGUUAUCGGGGCUGUUAAUGAGGUUUUUGUGCCUAUUAAUGGGAUUAUUGGGGCUAUUGAUGAGGUUUUGGGGCCUAUUAAUGGGAUUUUGGGGCUAUUAAUGGGGUUUUUGGGCCUAUUAAUGGCGUCCCCUGAGAUGUGUGGGGCGCCCCAUAGCCGGGAACUCGGCGGUGACGGACGAGGAACUGGAGGAGAUGCUGGAAACGGGGCAGAGCGAAGUGUUCGUCUCCAACGUGAGUUGUGGGGCGCCCCAUAGAGCCCGCUGUGCCCCAUAGUGCCCCAUAGAUCCCAUCGGGACCCAUAGUGACCCCAUGGAGCCCCACAGUGCCCCAUAGAUCCCAAAGGGACCCCAUAGGGCCUCAUAGAUCCUAUCGGGACCCGUAGCGACCCCAUAGAGCCCCAUAGUGCCCCAUAGAUCCCAUAGGGACCCCAUAGGG